GCAGUUUUCGCGCAUGCGCACUCGUCUAAAGCUGAAAACGAAAAUGGUGGAUCAGACGACUUUUGUUAGGUUAAACAAUCAUCAUAAUCACCGUUAUUAAACGAUCAUCGAGACCAAAUACACAUGGUACAAUGACAGGUUGAUGUUCACCUAACCAUGCAAGUAUAACUUUGCAAAGACAUCUUCAUUGUUGACUACUUGAAGAAUAUUCAAAAUGCCAGCACGAAGGAAGACAAGAGUCGGCCAAAGAAAGAAAUACGCUUCUGUUCAGAAGAAAUCCAAAGUGUUUAAGAUUAAAGACGCUGUCGCAGCAGAAUCUGAUGCAUUCUUUGCAAAGCCACUGUAAAAAAAUAAAUAAAUAAA